rnacentral:rRNA from 1 species
CUUGCUUCUCUGAUGGUUAGCGGCGGACGGGUGAGUAACACGUAGGCAACCUGCCCUCAAGCUUGGGACAACUACCGGAAACGGUAGCUAAUACCGAAUAGUUGUUUUCUUCUCCUGAAGAGAACUGGAAAGACGGAGCAAUCUGUCACUUGGGGAUGGGCCUGCGGCGCAUUAGCUAGUUGGUGGGGUAACGGCUCACCAAGGCGACGAUGCGUAGCCGACCUGAGAGGGUGAUCGGCCACACUGGGACUGAGACACGGCCCAGACUCCUACGGGAGGCAGCAGUAGGGAAUCUUCCGCAAUGGGCGAAAGCCUGACGGAGCAAUGCCGCGUGAGUGAUGAAGGUUUUCGGAUCGUAAAGCUCUGUUGCCAGGGAAGAACGCUUGGGAGAGUAACUGCUCUCAAGGUGACGGUACCUGAGAAGAAAGCCCCGGCUAACUACGUGCCAGCAGCCGCGGU